rnacentral:lncRNA from 10 species
AAUUUCCUACUAUGACAUGUGUGUUGGACAGUGUAGGGCAUAGCAAUGAUUAGUGAUUUUCAGCAGCCUUUCUUGAAUAGGCAUUGAAAAUAGCUAAACAAAAAAAGAGAAAUGAGCUGAAUUCUUGGAGUUAAUAUUUUGGAGUGAAUUAUAAAACAGAGUUCUUGCAAUAAUGCAUGUAAAUUAAAAAUAGGUUAGCAAAGCAUGAGUAAAAAUAGUCAAUUUUCAAAUACUUUUCACAGCUCUCCGAGUCUGACAUAUUUCUCUGGCUAAAAGGGAAGAAACAUAUCGGCACUCAUGUUGGGAAGACCUUAGAACAGCAAAGUACUAAAACUUGCCAAACCAACUUCAAGUGGCUUUCUUGUUAGUGCAAUACACACUGCACUGAGUUCCUGAGCAUAAUAUUUCCACCCUUUCCCACGGAGUCUGCUUAAAUUUGAAGAUUUUUUUUCUAGUAGGUGUAUUGUCCUUAAUUUUGGAGGAAGUUUUAAAAAGGUGGAUUAAUGUUAUAUAUGCUUCCGAGAAUAUUAUGCAACCAUGAAGCUUUGCACUUCAACAUAAAUGAAUCCCAAAAAGAGCCAGAUGAACUGUUGGCUGGGAGGCAGAGCCUUAGGAUGUUUCAAAUUCAUCGUGACUUCACAUAAAGGUCCUCUCUGGAGUAUGAAAGUCAAUUUUACAGGUGUAAAAUAAAGGAAAAGACGACAGUCUGAAAGUCAAACGAAAUUCCAGGACCACCUGUAUUUCAGUGAGGCUAGACCCUCCACUAUAACACUGAAUAGAAUUAGAGAAAACAGCUAUCUUGCCUUGUUCUCUAUCAUAGAAGGAAGCAUUCAGAAUUCCACUACUAAGUAUAAUGGUCACGUGCCAUAGAUGGAGCAGAGUGAAGCAAGAUAAAGCCUGUUGAUUUUUCAAUUCUUGUAGUUUUCCUAAGCUUGCAGGCCUUCAGAUUUAGAGUGGAAAUAUACUGUCAUCUCUCCUGUGUCUCCAGCUUUCCAUGUGACCAUAGAACCUCUCAGACUCCAUAAUCAUAGAAAACUCCAAGUAUUUUUUGCAAGGAAAAGUUGAUGAUACUGAUGAUGAUGGUGAUGGUGAUGGUGGUACUGAUUAGAGUGCUGAUGGUAGUAGUCCUGUAACUUGAACAAGGUUACAGGACAAGUAGAAUAUGGCAGAGAUGGAAUUUGAACCCAAGCAAUCAAAUUCAAAAGACUAUACUCUAAAGCAAUGGCACUCAGGGAGUGAUCCAUCAGUGCCUGUGCACAACAAGGUCCACAACCUGGCAUUUAGUGGUAGGCCUGGAGCUGCUCUUGGUCAACAGUGUCAGAAGUUGGGAAGAAGAGCUGCAUAUCAAGCAGAAGAGAAUGAGAAGAAACAGGAACCCACUUCUGCAUCUGUCUAUAGCAACAUCUGACUAUAACGACCUUCAAAAGAUAAUGGCUGUUGCUUCAUUUCCAACCCUCCAAAUCUCAAGUAGCCUUGUGAUUACAUUGGGCUUACCCAGAUCCAGAUCAUCUAGGAUAAUCUCUCUACCCAAGAUCUUUAAUGUAAUCACACCUGCAAAGUCCCUUUUGGGAAGAAAGGUAAUAUAUUCAUAGUUUCUGGAGAUUAGGCCUUUCCAGGCAAAGAGGUGGAAAUCUUUGUGGGGCCAUUUUUCUGCCUCCUACACAAGGUAAAGGAUAUUAUGAGUGAAGCUGUGGUGAGCAUGCAUGAACAAGUCUCUUGCGAACAUAGGUUUUUAUUUCAUUUAGUGGUGGACGUGCUGAGCUGGACAGUAAAUAUGUUUAGCUUUAUGAUAAACUGCCAAAUAGUUUUCCAAAAUGGUUGCUCCAUGUUACAUGCUCACUAACACUAUUUGACAUUUCAUUGACUCCUUAUCUUUUUCAAUACUCAAUAUUGUCAAACUUUCAAAUUUUAGCCAUUUAGUGGGUAAGGAGUAGUGUCUCAACUGUGGUUUUAAUUUGUAUUUUCUUGAUGACUAAUAUGUUGAGCAUCUUUUCCCAUGAUAACUGAUUACACAUAUAUAUUUUUGUGUGAAGUAUGUGUUCAACAUUUAUGCCCAUUUUCAUUGUUUUUUGUUGUCUUGUUAAACUGUAAGAAUGUGUGUGUGUGUGUGUGUGUGUGUGUGUGUGUGUAACAAGUGUUUUUUUAGAUAUAUAUUUUUUGAAUAUUGCCUCAAAGUCUUGGGCUUCUCUUUUUCUUAACUGAAUAUCUUUCUAUGAGCAAAACUUUAAACAUUUGGUGUAAUUUUUCAUUUUUUUCUAUUAUUGUGAGUAUAGUGCGUAGCAUACCAUCAUGAUGAUGAUUUUUUCCUAUCCUCCCACAAUCUGUUUUGUAUUUUAGCUUUUACAUUUAGUCCUGUGAUCCAUUCUGAGUCAGUUUUUGUGUACGGCCUGAUGUAAGGGUGAAGGCCCAUUUCUUUUCCAUAGUAAUACCCAGUUGUUUCAGUACUAUUUAUUGAAAUUACUGUAUUUCUCUUAUUGAUAUGCAUUGGCAACUCUGUAGAAAAUUAAUUAUAUUAUUGUACUUAGCAUUUUAAUAAUAUUUUAAAUCCUUUUGUUAAGUAUGUAUUGCUUAUAUUUUCUCUUUAUAUGUUUCUUUUGACUGUCUUUCUAAUACAUACCUAUUUAAUAAACAUGUCAAAA